AUGGCGAAGCUGCUGAAGGGGCACAGGGAGCUGGUUGAGUCCGGAGGCGCCUCCAGGCGCCCGGCGGGAGCCUCCGCCUCUCCUGCAAGGGCUCCGGCUUCACCUUCAGCAGCUUCAAAAUGGGCUGGUUCCGACAAGCUGCCGGCAAGGCACCCGAGUGGGUCGCGCAGAUCAGCACCGGUGGUACCACCUACUACGCGUCGGCGGUGCAGGGCCGCUUCACCAUCUCCAGGGACAACGGGCAGAGCAGCGUCUACCUGCAGAUGAACAGCCUCAAGGUGGAGGACACGGCCACCUACUACUGCGCCAAAAAUGCUGGUGGUUAUGGUGCUCCUG